rnacentral:rRNA from 1 species
UGGGGAAUAUUGGACAAUGGGGGAAACCCUGAUCCAGCGAUGCCGCGUGAGUGAAGAAGGCCCUCGGGUUGUAAAGCUCUUUCAGUGGAGAAGAUGAUGACGGUACCCACAGAAGAAGCACCGGCUAACUCCGUGCCAGCAGCCGCGGUAAUACGGAGGGUGCAAGCGUUGUUCGGAAUUACUGGGCGUAAAGCGUGCGUAGGCGGUUUAUUAAGUCAGACGUGAAAGCCCUGGGCUUAACCCAGGAACUGCGUUUGAUACUGGUAAACUAGAGGACUGGAGAGGAGAGUGGAAUUCCUAGUGUAGAGGUGAAAUUCGUAGAGAUUAGGAAGAACACCAGUGGCGAAGGCGGCUCUCUGGCCAGUUUCUGACGCUGAGGCACGAAAGCGUGGGGAGCAAA